rnacentral:rRNA from 1 species
AUGACUGUAAUAGAUUUCAUAGAUCUGAGUGAUCAUGAUAUUAUUGACUUGAGCAGCAGCGAUGACGAGAUUGUUCAGGAGGGUCAUAUUGCAACUAAGCACCGGGCGGCGUCGCUUGAUAGGCAGACUAUGCAUGUCAUAGCUGGUGUAGGAAUCCAAGAUGUGCAGGCUGCGUUUGUUGCAACUAGUGAAGGAAGGCAAGAUGUGCAGGCUCUGUUUGCUGCAGCUAGUGAAGGAAGAAAAGAGGCUGCUGAUUGCGGAUAUGCUUUGGAAGUCACCACAUCGUCCUUGGUUACGGAAAAAGAACCUCUUGUUGCAGCUAGUGAAGGAAGCCAAGAUGUGCAAGCUGUGCUUGUUGCAGCUCUUGAAGGAAGCCAAGAUGUGCAGGCUGCGUUUGUUGUAGCUAGUGAAGGAAGCCAAGAUGUGCAGGCUGUGCUUGUUGCAACCACUGAAGGAAGGCAAGAAGUUGCCGACUCCGGAAAUGCUUUGGAGGCUACAGCAUCGUCUUUGGUUACUGAAAAAGCACCUCUUGAUAUGGUUGAAUCACACAACUGUCCUCGCUCUCCCACAUCAGCGACAUUCCCCAGCCCGACUUCUACCGUUCUGAAGGCUCCGACCUCUGAAGGUGGCGAUGCAAAGCUGGUAAGAGGGAAGGUGAAGCGUCCCAGGAAGAACUACCACACCGGUACUCCUAGGACAAGUCCUAGGUUUGAACUGAAGCCUGAAUGUCGGAACGGGCCUCUGGACGAGCUGCCAGCAAAGGCACUGACCUCUGAAGGUGGCGACGCAGAGCUGGUGAGAGGGAAGCUGAAACAUCCUAGGGAGAACUACCCUGCUGGCACUCCUAGGACAAGUCCAAGGUUUGAACCGAAGUGCGAAUGUCAUAACGGGUCUGUGGAAGAGCUGCCAGCCGAGGUUCUGACCUCUGAAGGUGGCAACGCAAAGCUGUUGAGAGGGAAGGUCAAGCAUCCUAGGAAGAACUACCAUGCUGGCACUCCUAGGACAAGUCCUAGGUUUGAACAGAAGCUUGAUUGUCAUAACGGGACUGUCGAAGAGCUGCCAGCCGAGGCACUAAUUUCUGAAGGUGGCGAUGCGGAGUUGGUGAGAGGGAAGGUGAAAUGUCCUAAGAAGAACUACCAUACCGGCACUCCUCGGACAAGUCCUAGGUUUGAACCGAAGCGUGAAUGUCAUAACGGGUCUGUGGAACAAAUGCCAGCCGGACCUCUGAAGGUAGUGAUGCUGAGGUCGUGA